rnacentral:tRNA from 1 species
GGUUCCAUGGUGUAAUGGUUAGCACUCUGGAUCCAGCGAUCCGAGUUCAAAUCUCGGUGGAACCU